rnacentral:rRNA from 1 species
AUACGGAGGGUGCAAGCGUUACUCGGAAUCACUGGGCGUAAAGCGCGCGCAGGCGGUCUUUUAAGUUGGAUGUGAAAGCCUACGGCUCAACCGUAGAACUGCAUCCAAAACUAGUAGACUAGAGUGUGGGAGAGGAAGAUGGAAUUAGUUGUGUAGGGGUAAAAUCCGUAGAGAUAACUAGGAAUACCAAAAGCGAAGGCAAUCUUCUGGAACACUACUGACGCUGAGGCGCGAAAGCGUGGGGAGCAAACGGGAUUAGAUACCCCAGUAGUCC